GAUGAACGCUGGCGGCGUGCCUAAUACAUGCAAGUCGAGCGAACAGACGAGGAGCUUGCUCCUCUGACGUUAGCGGCGGACGGGUGAGUAACACGUGGAUAACCUACCUAUAAGACUGGGAUAACUUCGGGAAACCGGAGCUAAUACCGGAUAAUAUAUUGAACCGCAUGGUUCAAUAGUGAAAGACGGUUUUGCUGUCACUUAUAGAUGGAUCCGCGCCGCAUUAGCUAGUUGGUAAGGUAACGGCUUACCAAGGCAACGAUGCGUAGCCGACCUGAGCGGGUGAUCGGCCACACUGGAACUGAGACACGGUCCAGACUCCUACGGGAGGCAGCAGUAGGGAAUCUUCCGCAAUGGGCGAAAGCCUGACGGAGCAACGCCGCGUGAGUGAUGAAGGUCUUCGGAUCGGAAAACUCUGUUAUUAGGGAAGAACAAAUGUGUAAGUAACUAUGCACGUCUUGACGGUACCUAAUCAGAAAGCCACGGCUAACUACGUG
rnacentral:rRNA from 1 species